rnacentral:rRNA from 1 species
AAUAGAUACCCGGGUAGUCCACGCCGUAAACGAUGAGUGCUAAGUGUUAGAGGGUUUCCGCCCUUUAGUGCUGCAGCUAACGCAUUAAGCACUCCGCCUGGGGAGUACGGUCGCAAGACUGAAACUCAAAGGAAUUGACGGGGGCCCGCACAAGCGGUGGAGCAUGUGGUUUAAUUCGAAGCAACGCGAAGAACCUUACCAGGUCUUGACAUCCUCUGACAACUCUAGAGAUAGAGCGUUCCCCUUCGGGGGGCAGAGUGACAGGUGGUGCAUGGUUGUCGUCAGCUCGUGUCGUGAGAUGUUGGGUUAAGUCCCGCAACGAGCGCAACCCUUGAUCUUAGUUGCCAGCAUUUAGUUGGGCACUCUAAGGUGACUGCCGGUGACAAACCGGAGGAAGGUGGGGAUGACGUCAAAUCAUCAUGCCCCUUAUGACCUGGGCUACACACGUGCUACAAUGGAUGGUACAAAGGGCUGCAAGACCGCGAGGUCAAGCCAAUCCCAUAAAACCAUUCUCAGUUCGGA